GAUGAACGCUAGCGGCAGGCUUAAUACAUGCAAGUCGUGGGGCAGCAGGUCUGUAGCAAUACAGAUGCUGGCGACCGGCAAACGGGUGCGGAACACGUACACAACCUUCCUUUAAGUGGGGAAUAGCCCAGAGAAAUUUGGAUUAAUACCCCGUAACAUAUAGAAGUGGCAUCACUUUUAUAUUAUAGCUCCGGCGCUUAAAGAUGGGUGUGCGGCUGAUUAGAUAGUUGGCGGGGGAAUGGCCCACCAAGUCGACGAUCAGUAACUGGCGUGAAAGCCCGACCAGUCACACGGGCACUGAGACCCGGGCACGACUCCUACGGGAGGCAGCAGUAAGGAAUAUUGGUCAAUGGACGCAAGUCUGAACCAGCUAUGCCGCGUGGAGGAUGAAGGUCCUCUGGAUUGUAAACUUCUUUUAUUUGGGAAGAAAUCUAUCUUUUCUUGGAUAGUUGACGGUACCAGAUGAAUAAGCACCGGCUAACUCCGUGCCAGCCGCCGCCGUAAGAC
rnacentral:rRNA from 1 species